rnacentral:lncRNA from 1 species
ACAGGUGGAGAUCUACAGUUGAGCACACAGGAGCCACAUCACAGAUAAGAAAAGCUAUACCAGUAAAGUCUUGCCAACAUGGCUGCCUAAAUGUAAUCACUGGUUCUCAGUCCUGCAGAAGUGUCUCCUGAAUCCCCUGCCAGUCCCCAAAUUGACAGAUACUAAGCCCCAACAACUGAGUAAUGGGAGAAGCGGAAGCAGAAGCGAGCAUCCUGCUCUGAAGACAGGACUCAGUCCCUGGCAGGCUUUUCAGACUUGUUUUCCUAGCUGUUAUUAAUGGUAUCAAUCCACCAAGUUUUGAAGCUUGUCUUUGCUUCUGUGAGUAUCCACCUUGAUCGCCUCUGACUUUAAUCUUUCUCUGAAUCCACAAAGUGAAGACUGCUUCCUAAUUUCACUGUCUGAGUGGUUGGGAGUUGCCAUGUCAACAUUUCUCAAGCACUAGCAUCAACUUCUGACUGUAGUAGGGAAGAAU